rnacentral:tRNA from 1 species
GGACAGGUGGCCGAGUGGUUGAAGGCAGCGGUCUUGAAAACCGCCAAGGGCUAACACCCUUCGUGGGUUCGAAUCCCACCCUGUCCG